CCUACGGGAGGCAGCAGUGGGGAAUCUUCCGCAAUGGGCGCAAGCCUGACGGAGCAACGCCGCGUGAAUGAAGAAGGUCUUCGGAUCGUUAAGUUCUGUUCUUCGGGAAGAAGUCUUUUCUUGUCAAUCAUGGGAGAAGGUGACGGUACCUAAGGAGAAAGCUCCGGCUAACUACGUGCCAGCAGCCGCGGUAAUACGGAGGGAGUGAGCGUUGUCCGGAAUUAUUGGGCGUAAAGGGCGCGUAGGCGGGAACUUAAGUUAGAUGUGAAAACUCCGGGCUCAACCUGGAGACUGCAGUUAAAACUGGGUGUCUUGAGGGCAGGAGAGGAAAGUGGAAUUCCUGGUGUAGCGGUGAAAUGCGUAGAUAUUAGGAAGAACACCAGUGGCGAAGGCGGCUUUCUGGACUGUAACUGACGCUGAGGCGCGAAAGCAUGGGGAGCGAACAGGAUUAGAUACCCCGGUAGUC
rnacentral:rRNA from 1 species